rnacentral:rRNA from 1 species
GACGAACGCUGGCGGCGUGCUUAACACAUGCAAGUCGAACGGUAAGGCCCUUCGGGGUACACGAGUGGCGAACGGGUGAGUAACACGUGGGUGAUCUGCCCUGCACUUCGGGAUAAGCCUGGGAAACUGGGUCUAAUACCGGAUAGGACUCCGGACUGCAUGGUCUGGGGUGGAAAGCUUUUGCGGUGUGGGAUGGGCCCGCGGCCUAUCAGCUUGUUGGCGGGGUGAUGGCCUACCAAGGCGACGACGGGUAGCCGGCCUGAGAGGGUGACCGGCCACACUGGGACUGAGAUACGGCCCAGACUCCUACGGGAGGCAGCAGUGGGGAAUAUUGCACAAUGGGCGCAAGCCUGAUGCAGCGACGCCGCGUGAGGGAUGACGGCCUUCGGGUUGUAAACCUCUUUCAGCAUCGACGAAGCGAAAGUGACGGUAGGUGCAGAAGAAGCACCGGCUAACUACGUGCCAGCCGCCGCCGUAA